UACGGAGGGGGCGAGUGUUGUUCGGAAUUACUGGGCGUAAAGCGCACGCAGGUGGCUGAGUCAGUCGAUUGUGAAAGCCCUGGGCUUAACCUGGGAAUUGCAGUCGAUACUACUCAGCUAGAGUAUGGGAGAGGGUAGUGGAAUUCCCGGUGUAGCGGUGAAAUGCGUAGAUAUCGGGAGGAACAUCAGUGGCGAAGGCGGCUACCUGGCCCAAUACUGACACUCAGGUGCGACAGCGUGGGGAGCAAACAGG
rnacentral:rRNA from 1 species